UCUACCGUAGGUUAGAGGACAUGUAUUAGUCAGCUUUCUACCGUAGGUUAGAGGACAUGUAUUAGUCAGCUUUCUACCGUAGGUUAGAGGACAUGUAUUAGUCAGCUUUCUACCGUAGGUUAGAGGACAUGUAUUAGUCAGCUUUCUACCGUAGGUUAGAGGACAUGUAUUAGUCAGCUUUCUACCGUAGGUUAGAGGACAUGUAUUAGUCAGCUUUCUACCGUAGGUUAGAGGACAUGUAUUAGUCAGCUUUCUACCGUAGGUUGGAGGACAUGUAUUAGUCAGCUUUCUACCGUAGGUUAGAGGACAUGUAUUAGUCAGCUUUCUACCGUAGGUUAGAGGACAUGUAUUAGUCAGCUUUCUACCGUAGGUUAGAGGACAUGUAUUAGUCAGCUUUCUACCGUAGGUUAGAGGACAUGUAUUAGUCAGCUUUCUACCGUAGGUUAGAGGACAUGUAUUAGUCAGUGUUCU